rnacentral:lncRNA from 1 species
UCCCAAAAUGCUGAAAUUACACUUGUUAGCCAUAGUAAUAGUUCCUAGCCAUAGUCCGGAGAUAUUUUAAAAACUUUAGUGUGAGUUAUUUCUCUUUGCUAUAAUUCUCUCAUGCAUUUUGAAAACCUUUUCUGCCAUACAGUGGUUUUUGGGAAGUCCUUUUGGACAGACAUAUCACAGGAUGGAGAAACUAAAAAGAGAGAAUGCAUUAAAGAAAAAAUAGUACUUCGUAUUUCAGAAAUUACAAAAGGGUGUCAUGCCCCACAGCAUGGUGGGCAGUCAUUUGUAACCCACAGAACAUUGAGUUUCUAAAAUUUGAGUGUUUUUAACUUACGAAGGCCAACUUUACUGAUGAAGUGAUUACCCCAAAUAUGUGAAAUCCAUAUUUCAAGUACAAUAGUAGGAAAUUGGAAAUGGAUAGUUCAUUGUCAGUGUAUGAAAAACCUACUGAUUUUUUACGUUGAUUUUAUAUACUGCAACUUUAUUGAAUUCUCAACAAAUGGUGUUGAAAAAACUGGAUGUCCUCAUGAAGAAGAAUGAAAUUGAACACAUCACAUCCCAUAUACAAGAAUCAACUCAAAGUGGGUUGAAGACUUAAAUAUAAGAUCUGAAACUAUAAAACUAUUAGAAAUAAAAAACGUAAGAGGAAAGCUCCA